UACGGAGGGUGCAAGCGUUAAUCGGAAUUACUGGGCGUAAAGCGUGCGCAGGCGGUUUGUUAAGUCCGCUGUGAAAUCCCCGAGCUCAACUUGGGAAUUGCAGUGGAUACUGGCAAGCUGGAGUAUGGUAGAGAAAGGUGGAAUUCCCGGUGUAGCAGUGAAAUGCGUAGAGAUCGGGAGGAACACCAGUGGCGAAGGCGGAUCUCUGGGCCGAUACUGACGCUGAGAAGCGAAAGCAUGGGGAGCGAACAGG
rnacentral:rRNA from 1 species